GAUGAAGAACGUAGCGAAAUGCGAUAAGUAAUGUGAAUUGCAGAAUUCAGUGAAUCAUCGAAUCUUUGAACGCAUAUUGCGCCCGCCAGUAUUCUGGCGGGCAUGCCUGUUCGAGCGUCAUUUCAACCCUCAGGUCUUAGUCUGCCUGGCGUUGGGGUGCUGCGGCCCGGCCGCAGGCCCUCAAAUUCAGCGGCGGACCCGUCGUGGCCUCCUCUGCGAAGUAGUGAUAUUCCGCAUCGGAGAGCGAUGAGCCCCUGCCGUUAAACCCCCAACUUUCCAAGGUUGACCUCAGAUCAGGUAGGAAUACCCGCUGAACUUAAGCAUAUCAAUAAGCGGAGGA
rnacentral:misc_RNA from 1 species